GACGAACGCUGGCGGCGUGCUUAACACAUGCAAGUCGAACGGAAAGGCCCUGCUUUUGUGGGGUGCUCGAGUGGCGAACGGGUGAGUAACACGUGAGUAACCUGCCCUUGACUUUGGGAUAACUUCAGGAAACUGGGGCUAAUACCGGAUAGGAGCUCCUGCUGCAUGGUGGGGGUUGGAAAGUUUCGGCGGUUGGGGAUGGACUCGCGGCUUAUCAGCUUGUUGGUGGGGUAGUGGCUUACCAAGGCUUUGACGGGUAGCCGGCCUGAGAGGGUGACCGGCCACAUUGGGACUGAGAUACGGCCCAGACUCCUACGGGAGGCAGCAGUGGGGAAUAUUGCACAAUGGGCGGAAGCCUGAUGCAGCAACGCCGCGUGCGGGAUGACGGCCUUCGGGUUGUAAACCGCUUUCGCCUGUGACGAAGCGUGAGUGACGGUAAUGGGUAAAGAAGCACCGGCUAACUACGUGCCAGCAGCCGCGGUGAUACGUAGGGUGCGAGCGUUGUCCGGAUUUAUUGGGCGUAAAGGGCUCGUAGGUGGUUGAUCGCGUCGGAAGUGUAAUCUUGGGGCUUAACCCUGAGCGUGCUUUCGAUACGGGUUGACUUGAGGAAGGUAGGGGAGAAUGGAAUUCCUGGUGGAGCGGUGGAAUGCGCAGAUAUCAGGAGGAACACCAGUGGCGAAGGCGGUUCUCUGGGCCUUUCCUGACGCUGAGGAGCGAAAGCGUGGGGAGCGAACAGGCUUAGAUACCCUGGUAGUCCACGCUGUAAACGGUGGGUACUAGGUGUGGGGUCCAUUCCACGGGUUCCGUGCCGUAGCUAACGCUUUAAGUACCCCGCCUGGGGAGUACGGCCGCAAGGCUAAAACUCAAAGGAAUUGACGGGGCCCCGCACAAGCGGCGGAGCAUGCGGAUUAAUUCGAUGCAACGCGUAGAACCUUACCUGGGUUUGACAUGGAUCGGGAGUGCUCAGAGAUGGGUGUGCCUCUUUUGGGGUCGGUUCACAGGUGGUGCAUGCCUGUCGUCAGCUCGUGUCGUGAGAUGUUGGGUUAAGUCCCGCAACGAGCGCAACCCUUGUUCACUGUUGCCAGCACGUUAUGGUGGGGACUCAGUGGAGACCGCCGGGGUCAACUCGGAGGAAGGUGGGGAUGACGUCAAGUCCUCAUGCCCCUUAUGUCCAGGGCUUCACGCAUGCUACAAUGGCUGGUACAGAGAGUGGCGAGCCUGUGAGGGUGCGCGAAUCUCGGAAAGCCGGUCUCAGUUCGGAUUGGGGUCUGCAACUCGACCUCAUGAAGUCGGAGUCGCUAGUAAUCGCAGAUCAGCAACGCUGCGGUGAAUACGUUCCCGGGGCU
rnacentral:rRNA from 1 species